ensembl:snoRNA SNORA70 Small nucleolar RNA SNORA70
CUGCAGCCAAUUGAGCUGAUGCAGUUCCUUUCAUCAUGGGGCCCAGUGUGCAGUAGCUGCAAACGGCAGCUUCCUUUGUAGUGUAUGCAGCCUGUUUCUUAUAGGGGUUGCUCUAAGGGACCUUGGAGACAGGC